ACAACGGAACCGGGCUCAGCAGCCUCCCAGUGAUCAUGGCUGGACCUGGACCAAACACAGACACCAAGACAACAGAUAAAACAGUAGUGAUUUACAGGGGCUCCAACCAGGACUCUGACUCCUGGACGACGAAGACACAGCGGGUUCAGGCAGGCGUCAAGUGGGAGGGCAGCAAGAGGCAGGUGGGGCAUCAGAGAGCCAGCGACAGCAUGUAGAGACAGAAUAUUUUCACGUACAACUCGAUGAAUUAAGGGAUUAAACCAGAGUUGGUGAUUGUUGGAACAGUGGAAAAACUAACAAAGAUGGUGUUGUCCCCACACUCCAUUAACUCUACGAUUUGCCCUUCAUGCCUCAUUGUCAUUCUGUGGAACCUGGUCCAUCAUUUGUCCACUAGACUCUUAACAUCUUUCUCCUCGGUCUCCGCUGUGUUGUUGCUGUCUGUGUGAACGGCUGGUAUACCUGCACAUAUACACACACAGACCUAACCAGCUGGCUUACAAUCCCAUUGAUCCCUGCUCUUUAGCCUACUGGGAUAAAAAGGUCAGUCUAAUUGAAACAUUAGCGGCCUCAGGAGAGCUGAACUGGGCUGAACUGUGACAUUCACUGAGUCCAGAGACCAGGUCGUCUCCUUUUGCUCUCUGUCUUCUCCCUCCGUAGGACACUGUGCCGCUAAUGGUCUCGUCACUGCAAUGCAACCACUGUGUCUCACAUCCACAGCUCCCUUUUCUUGCUCUCUGCUGUCACUUCUGUGCUAACAAAUGUUUGGAGGAACUUUCUUGAAGGACACCAAGUUGCUGCUGCUCAUCCUCAGUGCUUAAUUACACCUCAGGGUCAUCUUUGACUCGGCUGACAGACAGAAACCGAUGAGCGUGGCUUCUCAAACUUUUGUAAAACCUCUGACCAGGACUAAAUUCAAUAAAAUUCUGGUUUGCAGUCCAUUAA